rnacentral:lncRNA from 1 species
CUCGGCUUCUCCACCGCCCCCAACAAGAUCUUUUACAUUGACAGGAACGCUUCCAAGUCAGUCAAGCUGGAAGAUUAAACUCUAGAGUUUUGUCCCCCCAAAACUGCCACAAUUGCUUUGAUUAUUCCAUUUAUGCUGGAGAUUACAAAUUUUUUUUGUGAAAAAAUCAGAUCUUGGUGAUAACCUCGAGCAGUAAGAUAUUUUAAAUAACUCCCAUAAGCUUAGCGUUCCAGUAAUGGAACACUAGGCAUAAAUGGUUUAUUCAGUUGUGCACAUGAAAGCCAUCUGACAGUUGGCUCACAUUGAACACCUGUGGAGAUUAAGGACGAGGACAACUAUAUUGAUGGGCUUGGAUGAACUGGGGCGGGGCAGCUCAUCUUUCGGGAGCCAGGAGAACGAGGUCUUGCUCUGUCAACCAGGUUGGAAUAUAGUGGCAUGAUCAUAACUCACCGUAACCUCAAACUUCUGGACUCAAACAAUCCUCCUGCCUCAGCAUCUGGAGUAGAGGGGACUACAGGUGCAUGCCAC